GACGAACGCUGGCGGCGUGCUUAACACAUGCAAGUCGAGCGGUAAGGCCCCUCCGGGGGUACACGAGCGGCGAACGGGUGAGUAACACGUGAGCAACCUGCCCCCGACUCCGGGAUAAGCGGUGGAAACGCCGUCUAAUACCGGAUACGACCAACCGGCUCAUGCCGGGUGGUGGAAAGUUUCUUCGGUUGGGGAUGGGCUCGCGGGCUAUCAGCGUGUUGGUGGGGUAAAGGCCUACCAAGGCGAUUACGGGUAGCCGGCCUGGGAGGGCGGACGGCCACACUGGAACUGAGACACGGCCCAGACUCCUGCGUGAGGCAGCAGUGGGGAAUCUUGCGCAAGGGGCGGAAGCCUGACGCAGCGACGCCGCGUGGGGGAUGACGGCCCUCGGGUUGUCAACUCCUUUUACCACUCACGCAGGCCCGGGGUUCUCUCCGGGUUGACGGUAGGUGGGGAAUAAGGACCGGCUAACUACGUGCCAGCCGCCGCCGUAAAAC
rnacentral:rRNA from 1 species